rnacentral:rRNA from 1 species
CAGCCGCCGCGGGAAUACAGAGGGUGCGAGCGUUAAUCGGAUUUACUGGGCGUAAAGCGUGCGUAGGCGGCUAAUUGAGUCGGAUGUGAAAUCCCCGAGCUUAACUUGGGAAUUGCAUUCGAUACUGGUUAGCUAGAGUGUGGGAGAGGAUGGUAGAAUUCCAGGUGUAGCGGUGAAAUGCGUAGAGAUCUGGAGGAAUACCGAUGGCGAAGUCAGCCAUCUGGCCUAACACUGACGCUGAGGUACGAAAGCAUGGGGAGCAAACAGGAUUAGAUACCCGUGUAGUCCCUGUCUCUUAUAC